rnacentral:ncRNA from 1 species
UAUCUUUGCGCCCGAUAUACAUAAUAUUCAUUUAAAAUAAUUUUGGCAUG